CCUAAAGGAACAUGCAUUUUUAUUCCAGCAUACUGAUGUCAUUUGACUGCGUCUCGAAGAUCAAAACGGACCUUAAACUCAAGAGCCGUCAAAUUACCUAAACUAUGUUAGUGUAUAGCUAGUUUUAUUCUAAUGUAAACUGAAUUAUAAAGUUUGAAUUUUAUAUUUACAAUUUUACCCACUUCCUGUUUUGAUAACUGAGAUAUUGGUGAUUGGCAUUCUCUACAAACUCCCUGGAGUUUUCUUCUGCCAAUCUCCAUCCAUAUUACAUUUUACUCUUUCCUUCUAUUUUAUAAUUAAAUUUAUAGCUUUUUCAUUUAUAUAAUAUGUAUCCGUCUGUUUAAAUUAUUCUACCUGCUUGUAAAUAUUUGAAUAUGGUUAAUAAAUAUCGAUUGAUCUAUGCUAUAUGGUCUAUUUCACAACUCAGUG